CGUCGAAAUGAAACACUUGAUCGAAUGUGAAACUGUUAUAGUAAAUUUGUUACUACGUAUAUGGUGCAUAAACAAGUUCCAGUGAUGUACCUUUUUAUCGGACAAUGUACUGAUGUGUAAAUAAUAGUACAACCAGUCUUGAAUAUUUCAAGAAUUUUUGUCGCCACGCUUUAAGAACAACCCCAACGAGGUCUCUAUGUAAAUAGUGCUGAAACUGUUAACGUAGAUAGGAAUGUGUUGUUCAAAAUGAUGACCUUAACAACAUAUUUCAAGGUCAUUGAAAUCUGUGUUGAAGACCCUAUUCCUUAUAAUUACCAAAUAUUGAACGUUUAUUUUUUACUCGUGACGGUGUCCCUUUAAAUGUUGAAGUUCAAACUACAGGAUGUUCUCGGGUUAAAUCGACAAACUUUAUGUAUAAAUUUACAACUCAAAGAGAAACAAAUUUUUCCUAUGAAAGAACUCUCCUUCAAGAGAUAUGCUUACUUCAAAUGACCUCAGGAACUCCUCAUUUCCCGAAAGUACCAUAAUUUUGAAACACUGCAUAUACGCAUGCAUACCGGAUUUAGAAUCAAGCUUAGGUAGUUAAUUCUGAGCUCCCAUGUAUUUUCGGGAAACCGGUUAGGUUCCACAUAACCACUUCAUACUGAAUCUCAUUUAUUCAAUUCACAACUUUUGAGAUUCCAGUUGCUAUUAUUAUUUUCACUAUGGUGCACGUUUGCCUCUCGAAAGAAACAAUUUUUUCAAGUCACGAGGUUGACAUAAUAACUAUACCUUCCAUCCCUUGUAAGUGUCGGCGGUGAAACAAACGUCGGCUCGUCUACAACUAAUAAACUCUCACAAAAACCAAA